rnacentral:rRNA from 1 species
GAUGAACGCUAGCGAUAGGCUUAACACAUGCAAGUCGAGGGGCAUCACGUCAAGGUGGCGACCGGCGCACGGGUGAGUAACACGUAUGCAACCUGCCCAUAACACAGGGAUAGCCCUAAGAAAUUGGGAUUAAUACCUGAUGUAACAGUAAUACCGCAUGGUAUAAUUCGUUAAAGAUUUAUUGGUUAUGGAUGGGCAUGCGUUCCAUUAGAUAGUUGGUAAGGUAAUGGCUUACCAAGUCAGCGAUGGAUAGGGGGACUGAGAGGUUUGUCCCCCACACUGGUACUGAGACACGGACCAGACUCCUACGGGAGGCAGCAGUGAGGAAUAUUGGUCAAUGGUCGAGAGACUGAACCAGCCAAAUCGCGUGAAGGACGACGGUAUUAUGUAUUGUAAACUUCUUUUAUAAGGGAAUAAAAAGGGUCACGUGUGGUCCGUUGUAUGUACCUUAUGAAUAAGCAUCGGCUAACUCCGUGCCAGCAGCCGCGGUAAUACGGAGGAUGCGAGCGUUAUCCGGAUUUAUUGGGUUUAAAGGGUGCGUAGGUGGGUUUUUAAGUCAGCGGUGAAAGGUUUUCGCUUAACGAAGACAUUGCCGUUGAAACUGUGAAUCUUGAGAGUGGACGAGGCAGGCGGAAUUCGUAGUGUAGCGGUGAAAUGCAUAGAUAUUACGAAGAACCCCGAUAGCGCAGGCAGCUUGCCAGGUCACGUCUGACACUGAAGCACGAAAGUGUGGGAAUCAAACAGGAUUAGAUACCCUGGUAGUCCACACAGUAAACGAUGAAUACUAACUGUUUGCGAUAUAGUGUAAGCGGUACAGCGAAAGCGUUAAGUAUUCCACCUGGGGAGUACGCCGGCAACGGUGAAACUCAAAGGAAUUGACGGGGGCCCGCACAAGCGGAGGAACAUGUGGUUUAAUUCGAUGAUACGCGAGGAACCUUACCCGGGCUCGAACGGCUUUUGAAUAUAGAUGAAGUUUAUAGUCGCAA